rnacentral:rRNA from 1 species
CAAUAGCGUAUAUUUAAGUUGUUGCAGUUAAAAAGCUCGUAGUUGGAUUUCGGAUGGGAUUUGCCGGUCCGUCGUUACGAUGUGCACUGGCCAGUCCUAUCUUGUUGACGGGGACUAGCUCCUUGGAUUCACUUCCUGGGACUAGGAGCUGACGAGGUUACUUUGAGUAAAUUAGAGUGUUCAAAGCAAGCCUACGCUCUGAAUACAUUAGCAUGGAAUAACACGAUAGGACUCUGGCUUAUCUUGUUGGUCUGUGAGACCAGAGUAAUGAUUAAGAGGGACAGUCGGGGACAUUCGUAUUUCAUUGUCAGAGGUGAAAUUCUUGGAUUUAUGAAAGACGAACUUCUGCGAAAGCAUUUGUCAAGGAUGUUUUCAUUAA